rnacentral:lncRNA from 1 species
CCGUACUCUACGGGGGUAGUUUUCUUCUACUCUGUCCUGAGCCAACCUGCGGCCGGCUGCGGGGCUCUACCUUCGGUGGCCUCUGCUCUGCCCCAGGAGGACAGCCUGGGGGAAGAGGGAAUGGCUCCUGCCCUGACAGCCAGGCCCGGGAAGGAUUUGGAGUUUCCAAACCUGAUGUGAUCUACCAGUUGGAAAGAAACGAAGCAACUUGGAUGCAAGAACCAGAUAUUCUAAGAAGCAGCUGUCCAGGUGACUACAUAAAAACCAAGGAGAUGGAUCAUUGCAAAUACUGCUCUGUUGGCCAUUUUAGAUCAAAGCUCUUGUAAAAAUAUUGAACAAGGUGGUUGUAUUAAAGCUUCUUAGGC